GUGAAUCAUCGAAUCUUUGAACGCAUAUUGCGCUCUUUGGUAUUCCGAAGAGCAUGCUUGUUUGAGUAUCAGUAAACACCUCAAAGCUUUUGGAUUUUUUUUGAAAGCUUUGGACUUGAGCAAUCCCAACACCAAUCUUUUUCAGAUCGGCGGCGGGUUGCUUGAAAUGCAGGUGCAGCUGGACUUUCUCCUGAGCUAAAAGCAUAUUCAUUUAGUCCCGUCAAACGGAUUAUUACUUUUGCUGCAGCUAACAUAAAGGGAGUUUGACCGUAUUGGCUGACUGAUGCAGGAUUUCACAAGGGUCGGCAACGAUUCUUGUAAAACUCGAUCUCAAAUCAAGUAAGACUACCCGCUGAACUUAAGCAUAUCAAUAAGCGGAGGA
rnacentral:misc_RNA from 1 species